rnacentral:rRNA from 1 species
GACGAACGCUGGCGGCGUGCUUAACACAUGCAAGUCGAACGGUGAAGCGCCUUCCUUUUUGGUGGGUGUGGAUGAGUGGCGAACGGGUGAGUAACACGUGAGUAACCUGCCCCCUUCUUCUGGAUAACCGCAUGAAAGUGUGGCUAAUACGGGAAAUUCUGGGUCUGUCGCAUGAUGGGUCUGGGAAAGAUAUUGUUUCGGUGGGGGAUGGGCUCGCGGCCUAUCAGCUUGUUGGUGGGGUGAUGGCCUACCAAGGCGGUGACGGGUAGCCGGCCUGAGAGGGUGGACGGUCACACUGGGACUGAGACACGGACCAGACUACUACGGGAGGCAGCAGUGGGGAAUAUUGCACAAUGGGCGCAAGCAUGAUGCAGCGACGCCGCGGGAGGGAUGGAGGCCUUCGGGUUGUGAACCUCUUUCGCCAGUGAAGCAGGCCUGCCUCGUUUGUGGGUGGGUUGACGGUAGCUGGAUAAGAAGCGCCGGCUAACUACGUG